UAUAGCUAUAAUUAACAACUCGCUUAGCUUCCCCAUUCGUUCUGCAUCUUUUUUAGCUCCUCUUUCAAGCUCCUCCUCAUCAAAUUAAAUUUCCUGCAUUUCAACCAACUACAGUUGGAUCAUAUUGAAUUGAAGGAAUAGAGAGAUGGCAAGCGAAGCACCAAGUUGGGCUGAUCAAUGGGGUGCUGGUGGUAUUGGUGCCAUGGAAGAUGAUGCCACAACAUUCCAAAAAGACACUGGAAAGAACAAGAAGUCUGGUUCUAAGGGUGGUUUUGGUAGAGUCAAAGCAACCGCUUCAAAUUGUGUGAAAUGGAUGAAAAGCCUUUGCAAGAGAAAGAAAGCAUCCAAGUAAUGAGAGCACGCAACAACUAACUCCUCUCUCUAUGCACUUCUAAUUGGAGAUAUCAAUUUUGUAAUUUAUUUCCAAUCUUAAUGAACUGAGUUUGCUUGAGAGUUAAUAAAGCACGUUGCUUAGGAA